ensembl:misc_RNA Metazoa_SRP Metazoan signal recognition particle RNA
GCUGGGCAUGGUGGCGUGUGCCUGUAAUCCCAGCUACUCAGGAGGCUGAGGCAGGAGAAUCGCUUGAAUCUGGGAGGCGGAAGUUGCAGUGAGACAAGAUGAUGCCACUGCACUCCAGCCUAGGUAACAGAGUGAGACACCUUUUUUUUUUUUUGGAGGCAGAAUUUCGUUCUUGUUGCCCAGGCUGGAGUGCAAUGGUACAAUCUCGGCUCACUGAAACCUCUACUUCCUGGGUUCAAGCGAUUCUCCUGCCUCAG